UAUUUAUUUACUUAUUCUAACAAAAAGAUUAUAGGUACCUAAUGUUUGAAGUAUUUUGGGGGAGGAAAUUCUUUUACAUUUUUUUCUUCUUGUAGCAAUGAGUGGUGAAGCUGCUGGGCUUCUGGGUCGGGUGGGGACUUGGAGAACUUUUCUGUCUAGCUAAAGGAUUGUAAACACAACAAUCAGCGCCCUAUGUCUAGCUAAAGGUUUGUAAACGCACCAAUCAGCACGCUGUAAAAAUGCACCAGUCAGUACUCUGUAAAUUGGACCAAUCAGCAGGAUGUGGGUGGGGCCAAGUAAGGGAAUAAAAGCUUGCCCCCUGAGUUCGCAGUGGGAACCCAGUUGGGUAGGUUUCCAUGCUCUGGGAGAUUUGUUUUUUCACUCUUCAUGAUGAAUCUUGCUGCUGCUUACUCUUUAGGUCUGCACUACCUUUAUGAGCUGUAACACUCACUGCGAGGAUUUGCGGCUUCACUCCUGAAGUCAGGGAGAUCACAAACCUACUGGGAGGAACAGGCAACUGGACGCAUGCCGCCUUUAAGAGCUGUAACACUCACUGCGAGGGUCUGUGGCUUCAUUCGUGAAAUCAGCAAGACUACGAACCCACAGGGAUGAACAAACAACUCUGGACGCGCCACCUUUAAGAGCUGAACACUCACUGCGAAGGUCUGCUGCUUCACUCCUGAAGUCAGUGAGACCAUGAAUCCACUGGAAGGAAGAAACUCCGGACACAUCUGAACAUCUGAAGGAACAAACUCCGCACACACCGUCUUUAUGAACUGUAACACUCACUGCGAGUGUCCGUGGCUUCAUUCUUGAAGUCAGCGAGACCAAGAAUCCACUGGAAGGAACCAAUUCCAGACACAGCAAGAAAUUUGAGUUAUUUAAUUCUUCAGAGAAAUGAUUAUGACUACCAACGAAAAAAUGAUUAUUGUCCCAGGACUAUAUAUUUCUCUCCAGGUCUGUGAGAGUGGCUGGACAUUUAGAUCUAUUGUAUGGCAUUGUUAUUUGUGAAAGCCUGGGAGAAGAGGAGGCUGCAAAUCAUGAGUCCAAAUUACAAAUACGAUAAUAAAAUGACCAUGCAGCAGAAAACCAGAAAACAGAAAAGCAGAAAAACAGUUGGUGUUAAAUGAAGUUGCAGCUUGAUCACUAACUACACUUCGUUUUCUGGAAAGUUGUCAAUUUAAGUUGCAUUUAAUUCAUUUUACUGAAGGUAAAACUGCCUAACUAAAGCAUUCAAUGCUUAGCGACCAAGCAACAUCAUGCAAACAUUUAGAAUGAUCAGCAAGGCACAGGCACAUGUAAGAAACAGAGAAAAACAUUAAUAUCCUAGAAUCUACAUCUUCGUGUAACAUAAUAUUCAGAAACGAUCAGCUUCAUGUCUUCUAGUCAUGUAUUUGAAGUGAAGCCUAUCAACAAGUGGGUGCAUCAUUCCAUGAAUUGGGAUUUUUAAAUGACUUCCUUUAAUAGAAUGUGGUCCACCCGACAGUGGUUGUAAAAUGUGUAACCAUGUUGCCCCAAGCUACUGUCUUUGGGAGAACUGCAGUUACAAGGCAAACAUUUUCAAACUGGACCCUAUGCAAGAGGUGGUCAAUAUGGAGAAAGGGAUGGAGGUGUUGGCCCACAGGCUCCUG
ensembl:lincRNA